rnacentral:rRNA from 1 species
AUUGAACGCUGGCGGCAUGCCUUACACAUGCAAGUCGAACGGUAACAGGUCUUCGGAUGCUGACGAGUGGCGAACGGGUGAGUAAUACAUCGGAACGUGCCUAGUAGUGGGGGAUAACUACUCGAAAGAGUGGCUAAUACCGCAUGAGAUCUACGGAUGAAAGCAGGGGAUCGCAAGACCUUGUGCUACUAGAGCGGCCGAUGGCAGAUUCGGUAGUUGGUGGGAUAAAAGCUUACCAAGCCGACGAUCUGUAGCUGGUCUGAGAGGACGAUCAGCCACACUGGGACUGAGACACGGCCCAGACUCCUACGGGAGGCAGCAGUGGGGAAUUUUGGACAAUGGGCGCAAGCCUGAUCCAGCAAUGCCGCGUGCAGGAUGAAGGCCUUCGGGUUGUAAACUGCUUUUGUACGGAACGAAAAGCCCUGGGUUAAUACCCUGGGGUCAUGACGGUACCGUAAGAAUAAGCACCGGCUAACUACGUGCCAGCCGCCGCGGUAA